UAUGUGAGACUCAACGAUCUGCAUGGU
rnacentral:piRNA from 1 species